rnacentral:lncRNA from 1 species
UGAUCAUUAGGCACCAAACAGAAGAAAACGGACCGCAACAAGGGUUGCAGUAGUAAAUGAGAACUUGUUCUCAACUGGCCUACCUGGUUAAAUAAAGAGAUUGGACAUUGGCGAGUAAUAUGCUCGGAAGCGGUGGAUGGUGUGCUCGCCUUCUGAGUCUGACCAGUAGGCCCCUCCGUCUGACUCUCCUGCUGCGACCAUGUUGUUUUGGGUCGGCCUCUGGGAUAAGAUCGCAUGUCCAGGGUGGAGGUCCGAACGAAGGAUCCGCUUCGGGAAAGACAUAUUCCUGGUCUUAAUGACGAGGCCAAGACAACCCAGGAGUGGCUUCGAGACAAGUCUCUGAGUGUCCUUGAGUGGCCCAGCCAGAGCCCGGACUUGAACCCGAGC